GACGAACGCUGGCGGCGUGCCUAAUACAUGCAAGUAGAACGCACAGUUUAUACCGUAGCUUGCUACACCAUAGACUGUGAGUUGCGAACGGGUGAGUAACGCGUAGGUAACCUGCCUGGUAGCGGGGGAUAACUAUUGGAAACGAUAGCUAAUACCGCAUAAUAUUAAUUAUUGCAUGAUAAUUGAUUGAAAGAUGCAACUGCAUCACUACCAGAUGGACCUGCGUUGUAUUAGCUAGUAGGUGAGGUAACGGCUCACCUAGGCGACGAUACAUAGCCGACCUGAGAGGGUGAUCGGCCACACUGGGACUGAGACACGGCCCAGACUCCUACGGGAGGCAGCAGUAGGGAAUCUUCGGCAAUGGACGAAAGUCUGACCGAGCAACGCCGCGGGAGUGAAGAAGGGUUUCGGAUCGUAAAGCUCUGUUGUAAGAGAAGAACGGGUGUGAGAGUGGAAAGUUCACACUGUGACGGUAUCUUACCAGAAAGAGACGGCUAACUACGUG
rnacentral:rRNA from 1 species